rnacentral:lncRNA from 1 species
GGAAAGAGAGGGCAACCAAAGAAUCCCUGACAAAGCUCCCAUUUUGAUACUGAUUAAACAGGCUUUCAAGACGUUCAGAAAUAUUAGUGUCUGGGGGACAAAGGCUGAUUCCAAGAGCUCAAUCUAAAGCUAUUUCUACAGAAGCAUUCACCACAAAAGUGGCUGACUGAUUUGUGGGAGAAAAGACAAAUAGAGGAGACAGUUAAUGAUCCCAACUGUUAAGAAUGAUGUGAGGGUAGUUCCCCCACACUCUGAACCUGCUCAGCUCCUCCCUCUCUGCAGAGACGAUUAGAAGCAACAAUUAGAGGAGACUCAGAUUGAUCGCUGCACACUCUGCACACUGCACCUCCCGCCAGUGUUCUCGGCAUCCUCCCCAUCAAGCAGUUUGCAAGAGCUGCCAAGGAAAUCGCAGAAUGGAUCAGCUCAUUGCAUCUCACCUUCUCCUUCCUCAUCUCCUCCACCUUCUGGUUGGAUAGUUAAGGGGCAGCAAAAUGUUACAUAGUCAACAGUCAGCAGCUGUAAUGAUCAAAGGAGGCUUGUGGAUAACAGGCGAGGCUCUAGGGGCCUCAUAUGACUGUUCAUCCUUGGAGGACUGGCUUGUCUCACUCAGCAUAACAUCCCCGAGAUGCAUCCUUGAUGUGGCAAGUAUCAGAAUUUCCUUCCUUCUGAGGCUGAGUAAUAUUCCAAUAUAUCCAUGUGCUGUGUUCACUUGUCCAUUCAUUAUUUGUUGAUGGGCACUAGUGUUGCAUCCAUGUUUUAGUUGUUGUGAAAGUAUCCAGGGUUUUUAAAAGAGCUGAUGUUUGAUCCAUGUCUGUAUAACAAGUCAUCACAGUAUGUGUAGGCCUGGAAACAUGAAACCAUGCAUGUGCACAUACAUCUCAGAAACACAUCUAAUCAAACCCACCGUGUCCUUGGGAUUUGGAGGGAAACAGUAAAAGGCGAAGACAUUCUACCUGGGCCAAAGUCCAGUAAGGGUAAAGAGAUGGUGAUGCAGUAAAGCUUCAGCAUUUAACCACUUUUCAGUUGACCUCACUCAGGCUCCUCUAGGAGAAGCCAGCAGGUGUGGAAAGGUGCAGAUGCAAGAGCUGAGGUUUCUAUCACCUAGUUGUGUGAACCCCCAGUGCACUGAGGGUUCAGGGUGAACAUGAGUCUCUCACCUUAAGAAUCAAUGAUCUGAAUGAGACAAAAGUGUGUGUGUAAAUCACGCCAGUUGUGAUAAUGGGACAUAGGCUACAGUGAAGGCACAUUCCCAAAGAAGAAAGGCUUCCUGGGGGAAGUACCAUUUUUAAGCUGAAUUCCAAAGGAUGAGCAGGCAUUGCCUAGAGGUCAAGAAAGGCAAAUCUUAUUUCACACAGACGUGGAAUGCUCAGAGCUCUCCCCAUAAAAUAGAGCAAAGUCAAUUUAAGAAACUUUCUGACUAACGCAGAAAAUGCAGGGUGGAGAAAGACAGGUUUUGUACGGAAGCAGGGGAAGGCUCCUGCAGGGUGUUAUAAGCCAUAGGGGUUAGGUCUGCCUCUGUCCUGGUGGCAGUGAGGUCACCAGAGGGUGUUAAGCAAGAAGGAUUAUAAUGAGAUUUAAAAUUUAGAAAUAUCAUUCUGUCUAUAGUAAAGAAAACCACUUAAGGUUUGCAGAACUGGGCUUGAGACACCAGGGCUGGAAUAGAGGUCAGGGAUGACAGGGCCAGACUGCAGUGGAGGGAAGAAAUGGACAUCAGGGAGCAUUCCCAAGGAUCAAGUGGUGGUGGUAAUAUAGAAGAGUAAGGAGCUCCCAUUGUGGUUCAGUGGUUAACGAAUCCGACUAGGAACCAUGAGGUUGUGGGUUUGAUCCCUGGCCUUGCUCAGUGGGUUAGAGGGAUCCAGCGUUGCUGUGAGCUAUGGCAUAGGUCACAGAUGCAGCUCGAAUCUGGCGUUGCUGUGGCUCAGGCAUGGGCCAGCAGCUGCAGCUCUGAUUCAACCCCUAGCCUGGGAACCUCUAUGUGCCGCAGGAGUGGCCCAAGAAAUGGCAAAAAGACAAAAAAAAAAAAGAAGAAGAAUAGUAAAGGUGAGGCGCUUUGAGCAUUCUUUGGUUUUGGGUAGAGAAACUGGGCAAUGAUGUUGCUGUUCCUUGAGUAGUGAAUACAGAAAGGCAGAAAGAAUCAACCAGAAGAACAGAGUGUGGUUAAGUUAGCACCUGUGGGCUUUCCCAUCAUCAUGUCCUGAAUGCACUUAGAUGGACAAAAGGUAGCCUUAGGGCUGGAUUUACUAGGAUUUAAAAAUAAAAUUCCAUCCUCAAAAGUAAAUAUUUUCCA